rnacentral:rRNA from 1 species
ACGGAAGGCAGCAGUGGGGAAUAUUGGGCAAUGGGCGAAAGCCUGACCCAGCAACGCCGCGUGAAGGAAGAAGGUUUUCGGAUUGUAAACUUCUUUUAUCAGGGACGAAGAAAGUGACGGUACCUGAUGAAUAAGCCACGGCUAACUACGUGCCAGCAGCCGCGGUAAUACGUAGGUGGCAAGCGUUAUCCGGAUUUACUGGGUGUAAAGGGCGCGUAGGCGGGGAUGCAAGUCAGAUGUGAAAUCUAUGGGCUUAACCCAUAAACUGCAUUUGAAACUGUAUCUCUUGAGUGUCGGAGAGGUAGACGGAAUUCCUAGUGUAGCGGUGAAAUGCGUAGAUAUUAGGAGGAACACCAGUGGCGAAGGCGGUCUACUGGACGAUAACUGACGCUGAGGCGCGAAAGCGUGGGGAUCAAACAGGAUUAGAUACCCUGGUA